UACGGAGGGGGGCUAGCGUUGUUCGGAAUUACUGGGCGUAAAGCGUGCGCAGGCGGUUUUGUAAGUCAGAUGUGAAAUCCCCCGGGCUUAACCUGGGAACUGCGUUUGAAACUACAAGGCUAGAGUGUGGCAGAGGGGGGGUGGAAUUCCACGUGUAGCAGUGAAAUGCGUAGAGAUGUGGAGGAACACCGAUGGCGAAGGCAGCCCCCCUGGGUUAACACUGACGCUCAGGCACGAAAGCGUGGGGAGCAAACAGG
rnacentral:rRNA from 1 species